GAGUUUGAUCUUGGCUCAGAUUGAACGCUGGCGGCAUGCCUUACACAUGCAAGUCGAACGGCAGCACGGGAGCUUGCUCCUGGUGGCGAGUGGCGAACGGGUGAGUAAUGCAUCGGAACGUAUCCUGGAGUGGGGGAUAACGUAGCGAAAGUUACGCUAAUACCGCAUAUUCUGUGAGCAGGAAAGCGGGGGACCUUCGGGCCUCGCGCUCUUGGAGCGGCCGAUGUCGGAUUAGCUAGUUGGUGAGGUAAAGGCUCACCAAGGCGACGAUCCGUAGCAGGUCUGAGAGGAUGAUCUGCCACACUGGAACUGAGACACGGUCCAGACUCCUACGGGAGGCAGCAGUGGGGAAUUUUGGACAAUGGGGGCAACCUGAUCCAGCCAUGCCGCGUGAGUGAAGAAGGCCUGG
rnacentral:rRNA from 1 species